UUCGUCAGAAUGACACCCGUGGUCUGAGGAGCAAAACUAUGAUCUGCCUGAAAACAUCCAGACUGGCUCUGGAGCUAACCCAACCUCGAUCCAAUGGCUACCAGGGGCUAUUUCCCUUUGAGUAAAGCAGAUGGAAUGUUAAGCUGGUCACUCACAUCCAUCUCAUGCCAAGAUCAAGAAUGGUAGACUAUACCUCCACUCCAUCUUCAUGAUAACGAGUUUUAGACAAAUGUAUCCAGCAAGAUCUUUCACUGCAGAAUCCAUGCUGCUGUUCUCCAUUUUUAUGAAUGUAUGAAAACUAUCAGAAUGCUGUUGCUGAUACAGAAGCUGACGUUGGGAAAGGAAGGUGAAGGAUGAUGCAGAUUGGUUGUAAGAGGCACAGUCUCCAGAAGGACAGGUCAAGUCAUCAGGCACAAUGGAUUCAGUGUUAUGCAUACUCCAUGGCUGCAAUGUUGGCAAGCUCCUGUUUGUUUUCUCAAACAAGAAGGAACACCGAAUCAGUUAAACAAUACAUAUACACAAUACACAAUAUGUAACAAUGUUAGAAAACUUUCAAGUAAAAGUGGCUUUGUACAAGUGCUGAUUACAUUACUAAAUCAGCCUCAUUGAGUAGUCUGGCUCAAUUGUGCACAAUUCUGGAACUGCACUGUAUAACAGUGGGCAAUACAUUAAUUGAUAAUGGUGGACUCAAAGACACGCAUGUCACAUGGAAUAAACCAAAACUCCUACUUUACAUUUUGGAAAUGACCUAAACUGAAUGUAAAAUGAAGGAAAUGAAUAAAAUCAAGAAACAGAAAUUUAUCAAGGAUAUGAAAACAAAUACAUGUAUAGGGAUUAAAAGUGUCAAACUAAUGAAGUGCAGUAACAAAAUGGAACUGGGCCCUUCUUGAGAAGCUGCCAGUUUUGCAGCUAUUCAAGAAUUU